rnacentral:rRNA from 1 species
UGCUGUUGGUGGAUGAGUGGCGAACGGGUGAGUAACACGUGAGUAACCUGCCCCUGAUUUCGGGAUAAGCCUGGGAAACUGGGUCUAAUACCGGAUACGACCAAUCCUUGCAUGAGGGUUGGUGGAAAGUUUUUCGAUCGGGGAUGGGCUCGCGGCCUAUCAGCUUGUUGGUGGGGUAAUGGCCUACCAAGGCGACGACGGGUAGCCGGCCUGAGAGGGCGACCGGCCACACUGGGACUGAGACACGGCCCAGACUCCUACGGGAGGCAGCAGUGGGGAAUAUUGCACAAUGGGGGAAACCCUGAUGCAGCGACGCAGCGUGCGGGAUGACGGCCUUCGGGUUGUAAACCGCUUUCAGCAGGGAAGAAGCGAGAGUGACGGUACCUGCAGAAGAAGUACCGGCUAACUACGUGCCAGCAGCCGCGGUAAUACGUAGGGUACGAGCGUUGUCCGGAAUUAUUGGGCGUAAAGAGCUCGUAGGUGGUUGGUCACGUCUGCUGUGGAAACGCAACGCUUAACGUUGCGCGUGCAGUGGGUACGGGCUGACUAGAGUG